rnacentral:tRNA from 1 species
UAUAAUAACAGUAAUUAUUAGACUUGAAAUCUAAAUGUUGCAGGUUCGAUUCCUGU